rnacentral:rRNA from 1 species
GGAUAACUACCCUUAGGACUGGGAUAACCCUGGGAAACUGGGGCUAAUACCGGAUAGGCAAUUUUUCCUGUAAUGGUUCUUUGUUUAAAUGUUUUUUCGCCUAAGGAUGGGUCUGCGGCCGAUUAGGUAGUUGGUUAGGUAAUGGCUUACCAAGCCGUUGAUCGGUACGGGUUGUGAGAGCAAGAGCCCGGAGAUGGAACCUGAGACAAGGUUCCAGGCCCUACGGGGCGCAGCAGGCGCGAAACCUCCACAAUGUGAGAAAUCGCGAUGGGGGGAUCCCAAGUGCCAUUCUUAACGGGAUGGCUUUUCAUUAGUGUAAAAAGCUUUUGGAAUAAGAGCUGGGCAAGACCGGUGCCAGCCGCCGCGGUAACACCGGCAGCUCUAGUGGUAGCAACUUUUAUUGGGCCUAAAGCGUCCGUAGCCGGUUUAAUAAGUCUCUGGUGAAAUCCUGUAGCUUAACUGUGGGAAUUGCUGGAGAUACUAUUAGACUUGAGACCGGGAGAGGUUAGAGGUACUCCCAGGGUAGAGGUGAAAUUCUGUAAUCCUGGGAGGACCGCCUGUUGCGAAGGCGUCUAACUGGAACGGUUCUGACGGUGAGGGACGAAAGUUAGGGGCGCGAACCGGAUUAGAUACCCGGGUAGUCCUAACUGUAAACGAUGCGGACUUGGUGUUGGGGUGGCUCUGAGCUGUUCCAGUGCCGAAGGGAAGCUGUUAAGUCCGCCGCCUGGGAAGUACGGUCGCAAGACUGAAACUUA